UACGAAGGGGGCUAGCGUUGCUCGGAAUCACUGGGCGUAAAGCGCACGUAGGCGGCUUUUAAGUCAGAGGUGAAAUCCUGGAGCUCAACUCCAGAACUGCCUUUGAUACUGGAGUGCUUGAGUCCGGGAGAGGUGAGUGGAACUGCGAGUGUAGAGGUGAAAUUCGUAGAUAUUCGCAAGAACACCAGUGGCGAAGGCGGCUCACUGGCCCGGGUACUGACGCUGACGGUGCGA
rnacentral:rRNA from 1 species